AUUGAACGCUGGCGGCAGGCCUAACACAUGCAAGUCGAACGGAGCGGCGGUCGGGUGAGUAAUGCCAAGGAAUGUGAAUCGUAGUGAGGGAUAACGUUCGCAACCGGGCGCUAAUACUGCAUACUAUCACAUUCGCAUAGGUCUGAUUAGUUAGUUGGUGGGGUAAAGGCCUACCAAGGCGACGAUCCGUAACUGGUAUGAGAGGAUGAUCAGUCACACUGGAACUGAGACACGGGCCAGACUCCUACGGGAGGCAGCAGUGGGGAAUAUUGGACAAUGGGCGAAAGCCUGAUCCAGCCAUGCCGCGUGUGUGAAGAAGGUCUUCGGAUUGUAAAGCACUUUAAGUUGGGAGGCGUUACCAACAGAAUAAGCACCGGCUAACUUCGUGCCAGCAGCCGCGGUAAUUC
rnacentral:rRNA from 1 species